GGUGGGGAGGAGAGGGUUCCCCUUUGCCGGAGGGGCUCGUGUAUGAAGGAGUAAAUGAUGAACCAUUACAGAUGACCGGCGGCAGUGCUGCCCAGAGUUCUACGGUACAAAGUCUGGACGCCGCCCUGGGGAUAACGCACGCUCCGGACAUCCAAGCGUUCUUUGACAAAAUGAAGCCAUAUAUGCCUCGCUCCCACCGACAGUUUUUGGACGACAUCCAGACCAGGUC